ensembl:lncRNA
AAUUUACUUGCGUGAUCUGGAAUGUGUUUGUUUACCCCUGAGCUAAAACGUCUAGUGAAUAAAUCAUGUAGUGAAUGUUUUCCCGAACGGCAUUACCCACUCCAGUCAACAGGUGGCGAUGAGUCUCAGAUUUCAUUUCUAGCGUGACGACAGUUCAACAACCGAACACUGCUACUGUUAAGCUACAAUGGUAGCUGGAGAAUGAUGGUAUCUGGCUAGCCGACAUCAAACCGAUAAAGGGAGAGACUUUAUCGGUAAUCGAGAGGGAGGAUAUAUCUGUUAAAAGAGGAUGCUGUGUUUGGAGUGAAAGAGAAGGAUGAGAUUACCGUCACUUUGAAGGAAGAAGAGGAACAGACUGGAGAUCCAAAUAACUACUCCCACAGAUCUUGAGCCUGCUGCACCAGCAUGUCGCCAUCUCCAUGGACACCAAGAGGAAGUUACAGUGACUUGUACAACUAACAAAAGUAGGUGUUGACGUGCUUGACCAAAUGGCUCGGCAAUAUUCUGGGAAAGAUUAUUAUUAUUAUUACUACUAAUCUAUUAGGUGUUAAAACAUUGGAACAGUCAGUCUUUGCAAAAAUCUGUUUUUAAAUUGUAUCCUGUAAUUCAGAUGAACUGUAUGAUGCAAUAAACAUCUCUCAAGGUGGCAUGCGGAGAUGGCCGGUUGAGGUGUUUUACAACAUACUGGAUUUUGCUCCCGUCAAUUAAUGUGUGGUACCGGAGCUGCAUGAAUGACAACAUCCCCAGAAGGGACUUCGGCUGGCCCAGGAGCUGCAUGAAUGACAACAUCCCCAGGAGGGACUUCAGCUGGCCCAGGAGCUGCAUGAAUGACAACAUCCCCAGAAGGGACUUCAUGCUUCAGCUGGCCCAGGAGCUACAAGAAUGACAACAUCCCCAGGAGGGACUUCAUGCUUCAGCUGGCCCAGGAGCUGCAUGAAUGACAACAUCCCCAGGAGGGACUUCAUGCUUCAGCUGGCCCAGGAGCUGCAUGAAUGACAACAUCCCCAGAAGGGACUUCAGCUGGCUCAGGAGCUGCAUGAAUGACAACAUCCCGAGAAGGGACUUCAGCUGGCCCAGGAGCUGCAUGAAUGACAACAUCCCCAGGAGGGACUUCAUGCUUCAGCUGGCCCAGGAGCUGCGCGCAGAGUGGAUGGUGUCAAAAAAGGCACCACGCGUCUCCGUGCCCCUCGCUGGUACAGAAGAGCAUAGGAGAAUGACUUGCAUGGUGAAGGCCCAAUGUAAACAAAAACAAACCUUCGCCAUGUUCCUGAAUUGUGGCAAGGCGGUCUGUGGAAAAUGCACAGUCAAGAACAAAUCUCAAACCCAGGCUCAGAGAGCGGUCCCAGUUCCACAGCAUCAACAAACUGCAAACAAGGCAGGAAGACUUAGAGAACAUCAAAGAGUACAUACAGGGGAGAAGCCUCACCACUGUACCCAAUGUGGGAGGAGUUUCAGCUGGGCAGGAAUUCUUAAGAUGUAUAGAAGAAUUUAUACAGGGGAGAAACCUUUCCAAUGCACUGUGUAAGAAGAGGUUUACAAGAGAAGUGGCUCUAAAGAUUCAUGAAAGAGUCCACACUGGAGAGAAACCCUUCUGCUGCUCCACGUGUGGCAAGUGUUUUAGUGGAAAAUUAAACCUUAAUAGACACGAGAGUCCAUAGUGGUGAGAAGCCUUAUUUCUGUACAAAUUGUGGAAAGUGCUUAAGUAAUUCAAGAACCCUUAAAACACCAGCGGAUACAUACAGGGGAGAAACAAUACCACUGUUCUCUGCAGGAAGAAUUUCCUUUUUGCCGGAGACCUACAGAAACAUCAGAGAUCACAUAGUAGGGAAAAGCCUUAUCGCUGCUUUGUGUGUCAGAAAAGUUUUACUCAGCUCCCAAUGUUGAAAUAAUUUCCUUGUGGAGGAAGAAACAUGAGAGAAUGCAUAUUCAAGUGAAACCUACCUUUACUUUGAAUGUGAUUAUUAAGGAGGAGGGAGAAGAGAGAGAAAUUAAGAAAGAGGAAACAUAAGCUAUCUAUAUAAAUGUGAAGGCCUCCUAUCGUUUCUUCCUUCCAGUUUGUUUCUGACGGGGGAGCACCAUUGAUGGCUAUCUCUAUUUUUAAGUAGGUCUCUUGUGACUCUGUUGCUGAUAUAGCAUGGCGAAUGUGAAGUUCUGGGUUCAAUUCCCAGGAUAAAAAAGUAUGCUUCAAACAAUGUAUGUCCCUCCGGACAAAAGAAACUGCCAAGUGACUUACCUGAAUGUAUAUUAUUUUACUUUCAAGACUGUAUUGCAAGUCUGUAAAUAAACUUCAUAGGUAAUACUGACUACCUUGAACAGUGAAGUGUGUAUAUUCUAAACAGGUAUAAUGUGAAGAGCCUGGAUGCAACACAAACUCAAGUUAUACAUUUAGCAUCUUCUGAAGGCUGAUUAACCUGCUUUCAGAUUGUCCAGGAUGAGUUCAACCUGCAGUUGUGGCAUGUUUUUGAGUCUAAAUCAUUGUCUGACACCUACUAGCUGCAAUUGAAAUUUGUUCUAUCAUUCCUUAACUUGCUUCCAAUGUUUCACCCAGUUGACUUCAAAGUACUAACUGUCUGCAAGAGUUUGCCAGAAGCCAUGUGGAUAACGCUGACACCGAAUGGACAAAGAUGCUGUGCUUUUUGGUUUCAAUGCUAACACCGCAUAUCAUCCUGAGAACACCAUCCCUACCAUGAAGCAUGGUGGUGGCAGCAUCAUACUAUGGGGAUGCUUCUUUCAUCAGGGCUUGUGAGGAAAACCUGAAGUCGUCAUGCUUCUUUCAUCAGGGCUUGUGAGGAAAACCUGAAGUCGUCAUGCUUCUUUCAUCAGGGCUUGUGAGGAAAACCUGAAGUCGUCAUUCAUCUUCCAUCAGGAUAAUGAUGCUAGAGUGGCUUAAAAACAAGAAAGUUCAAUGUGCUGGAGUGGCACAUUCAAAGCUCGGACCACUCUCCAAUUGACAGAAUGUGGAAAGAGUUAAAUAGCUGUUUACCAAAGGUCCCUUUCUAACUUGAUGGGCCUGAGCAAAUUUGCAGAGCUGGUAGAGACAUCUGAAUGAACUCAUGACUGUAAUCGCUGCCAAAGGUCCCUCAACCAAAUACUGACUGAAGGGUUUAAAUACUUGUACAAUCAAUUAAUUUUCUGUUUUGUAUUUGCAGUUCAUUUUGAACAGUUUUUCACUUUAUUUUCUUUG